GUGAAUCAUCAAAUUUUUGAACGCAAAUUGCACUUUCUGGUAUUCCGGAAAGUAUGCCUGUUUGAGGGUCAGUUUAAUAAAAAUCGGCGUUGUGGCUGCCUUACGUGGUGACUCGGCGGAAGUUGGUUGUCUUACCGUCGGUUAAGUGUCUUAAAUGUUUUGCAUGUUUUUCUAACGUAUUCAAAUC
rnacentral:misc_RNA from 1 species